ACGGAAGGCAGCAGUGGGGAAUAUUGCACAAUGGAGGAAACUCUGAUGCGGCAACGCCGCGUGAGGGAAGAAGGUCUUCGGAUUGUAAACCUCUGUUUUUAGUGACGAAACAAAUGACGGUAGCUAAAGAGGAAGCCACGGCUAACUACGUGCCAGCAGCCGCGGUAAUACGUAGGUGGCAAGCGCUGUCCGGAUUUACUGGUGUAAAGGGUGCGCAGGCGGGACUGCAAGUUGGAUGUGAAAUACCGGGGCUUAACCCCGGAGCUGCAUCCAAAACUGUGGUUCUUGAGUGGAGUAGAGGUAAGCGGAAUUCCGAGUGUAGCGGUGAAAUGCGUAGAUAUUCGGAGGAACACCAGUGGCGAAGGCGGCUUACUGGGCUCUAACUGACGCCGAGGCACGAAAGCAUGGGUAGCAAACAGGAUUAGAUACCCUGGUA
rnacentral:rRNA from 1 species